CCUACGGGAGGCUGCAGUGAGGAAUAUUGGUCAAUGGUCGGGAGACUGAACCAGCCAAGCCGCGUGAGGGAGGAAGGUACAGAGUAUCGUAAACCUCUUUUGUCAGGGAACAAAGGCGGGGACGUGUCCCCGGAUGAGUGUACCUGAAGAAAAAGCAUCGGCUAACUCCGUGCCAGCAGCCGCGGUAAUACGGAGGAUGCGAGCGUUAUCCGGAUUUAUUGGGUUUAAAGGGUGCGCAGGCGGUCUGUUAAGUACGCGGUCAAAGCCCGGGGCUCACCCCCGGCCCGCCGUUGAAACUGGCAGUCUUGAGUUGGAGAGAAGUAUGCGGAAUGCGCGGUGUAGCGGUGAGAUGCAUAGAUAUCGCGCAGAACUCCGAUUGCGAAGGCAGCAUGCCGGCUCCACACUGACGCUGAGGCACGAAAGCGUGGGUAUCGAACAGGAUUAGAUACCCUUGUAGUC
rnacentral:rRNA from 1 species